AUCAACUUUCGAUGGUAGGAUAGAGGCCUACCAUGGUGGUAACGGGUAACGGGGUGUUAGGGCACGACACCGGAGAGGGAGCCUGAGAAACGGCUACCACAUCCAAGGAUGGCAGCAGGCGCGCAAAUUACCCAAUCCCGACACGGGGAGGUAGUGACAAUAAAUAACAAUACGGGGUCCUUUCGGGUUUCGUAAUUGGAAUGAGUACAAUUUAAAUCUCUUAACGAGGAACAAUUGGAGGGCAAGUCUGGUGCCAGCAGCCGCGGUAAUUCCAGCUCCAAUAGCGUAUAUUAAAGUUGUUGCAGUUAAAAAGCUCGUAGUUGAAUUUCGGGAUUAGUACGUUGGUCGUGCCUUCGGUACGUACUGGUGUUACUGAUUCCUACCUUCUGACGAACCAUCAUGUCAUUAAUUUGGUGUGGUGGGGAAUCAGGACUGUUACUUUGAAAAAAUUAGAGUGUUUAAAGCAGGCUCGCGCUUGAAUACAUUAGCAUGGAAUAAUGAAAUAAGACGUUGACCCUAUUUUGUUGGUUUCUAGGAUUGACGUAAUGAUUAAUAGGGAUAGUUGGGGGCAUUAGUAUUCAAUUGUCAGAGGUGAAAUUCUUGGAUUUAUUGAAGACUAACUACUGCGAAAGCAUUUGCCAAGGAUGUUUUCAUUAAUCAAGAACGAAAGUUAGGGGAUCGAAGACGAUCAGAUACCGUCGUAGUCUUAACCAUAAACUAUGCCGACUAGGGAUCGGAUGAUGUUAUUUUUAAUGACUCAUUCGGCGCCUUACGGGAAACCAAAGUGUUUGGGUUC
rnacentral:rRNA from 1 species